GGAAGAAUAGGAGUUUGCCAGCAGGGGGAUUUGGCGAGAGGCCUUCACAGCGGAUGAAGCAGAUCAGAACACGGGGGAAGGCAGAGAUCGGGGGCUUGCUUGGCCCACCCACGAACAGUCUCCCUGCUGACCCUGGCCAGUGGCGCCCCAUGAUCUCCCAGGGAAAGCCCAGACUCCAGUAUCCAGGAGAGCUGGCCCAACUCACCCCUCCAGCUCAUCCCUCACCUCUACUCCAGCCACGCCGCACCAUCGAUCCUCCCAGAACACGUCAAAGUCACGUCUCAGUGCACCGGGGGAUACCGCACAUACGCGCCAUCGGCUUAGUCCGUCCUCCCCGCUUUCUUAACCCGAGUGUGUGCUCCAUAAAGGACAAAUGAAUAAAUCUGUUCUUGUCCAUCAAAAUUCAGCUCAGGUGCCAUCUCCUCUGAAAAUUCAUACCUGCCCCUCCGCCCCGCAGCCUGGUGUGCCUGCCCCUUCUCCCCAGCACCCCACACCACCCAGGGCCCAGCCCACAGGAACAUACACCAUGUGAGAAUGGGGGUGCAUCUGUUGGCUUGGGCUGCCCACCCCACCCGCUUUGAUUUGUUUCCCUAAGCACCUAGCAUGAUGUUCCCCACAGUGGGUGUU